rnacentral:tRNA from 1 species
GCGGGGGUAGCCAAGCUUGGUCAAAGGCGUCAGAUUCAGAGUCUGAUCUCCUAGCGAGUUCGUAGGUUCAAAUCCUAUCCCCCGCA